rnacentral:rRNA from 1 species
UUUAAUUGAAGAGUUUGAUCAUGGCUCAGAUUGAACGCUGGCGGCAGGCUUAACACAUGCAAGUCGAGCGGUAGCACAGGGGAGCUUGCUCCCYGGGUGACGAGCGGCGGACGGGUGAGUAAUGUCUGGGAAACUGCCUGAUGGAGGGGGAUAACUACUGGAAACGGUAGCUAAUACCGCAUAACGUCGCAAGACCAAAGAGGGGGACCUUCGGGCCUCUUGCCAUCAGAUGUGCCCAGAUGGGAUUAGCUAGUAGGUGGGGUAAUGGCUCACCUAGGCGACGAUCCCUAGCUGGUCUGAGAGGAUGACCAGCCACACUGGAACUGAGACACGGUCCAGACUCCUACGGGAGGCAGCAGUGGGGAAUAUUGCAC